UACGUAGGGACCAAGCGUUGUUCGGAUUUACUGGGCGUAAAGGGCUCGUAGGCGGCCAACUAAGUCGGACGUGAAAUCCCUCGGCUUAACCGGGGAACUGCGUCCGAUACUGGAUGGCUUGAGUUUGGGAGAGGGAUGCGGAAUUCCAGGUGUAGCGGUGAAAUGCGUAGAUAUCUGGAGGAACACCGGUGGCGAAGGCGGCAUCCUGGACCAACACUGACGCUGAGGAGCGAAAGCCAGGGGAGCAAACGGG
rnacentral:rRNA from 1 species